rnacentral:lncRNA from 1 species
GGGUACCGGAAUGUGGAGAACAUCGGGAAUGUCGGGAAUGUUGGGAAUUCGGGAAUGGGGGAUUUGGGAUUGGGAAUGGGGGAUUUGGGAUUGGGGAUUUGGGAUUGGGAAUGGGGGAUUUGGGAUCGGAGCAUUCCCCGCGCUCUGCCACUGCUGCGUCGACACCCUCAACACCCGGGUACCGGAACGUGGGGAUUUGGGAAUGUGGGAAUGGGAUUGGGGAUUUGGGAUUGGGAUUGGGGAUUUGGGAUUGGAGCAUUCCCUGCAUUUCCUGCGUGCUGCGCUCUGCCACUGCUGCGUCGACACCCUCAACGCGCGGGAACAUCGGGAAUGUCGGGAAUAUGGGAAUGUCGGGAAUGUUGGGAAUUCGGGAAUGGGGGAUUUGGGAUUGGGAAUGUGGGAUUUGGGAUUGGGAUUGGGGAUUGGGAAUGGGGGAAUUGGGAUCGGAGCAUUUCCUGCGCGCCGCGCUCUGCCACUGCUGCGUCGACACCCUCAACGCCCGGCUGGCCGUGCAGAGGUACGAGGAGAUGUUCCCGGCCUUCUCCGACUCCCGGGAAUGCUCAUCCUCCUUCAUCCUCAUCCUCAUCUUCCUCCUCCUCAUCUUCCCUCAUCCUCAUCCUCAUCCUCAUCUUCCUCUCCUCCUCUUCCUCCUCCUCUUCUUCCUCCUCCUCAUCCUCCUCAUCCCUCUCCUCAUCCUCAUCUUCUUCUUCCUCCUCCUCAUCUUCCUCAUCCCUCUCCUCAUCCUCAUCCUCUUCUUCCUCCUCCUCAUCCUUCUUCUCCUUCUUCAUCUUCCUCCUCAUCCUCCUCCUCCUCAUCCUCCUCCUCCUUUUCAUCUUCCCUCUCCUCAUCCUCAUUCUCCUUCAUCCUCCUCCUCAUCAUCUUCCUCACCCUCCUCCUCCUCAUCCUCCUUCAUCUUCCUCCUUCUCAUCCUCACCCUCCUCAUCUUCAUUGCCCUCCUCAUCCUCCUUCAUCUUCCUCAUCCUCCUCCUCCUCCUUCAUCCUCCUCCUCCUCCUCUUCCUUCUCCUCCUCUUCCUCCUCAUCUUCCUCAUCCUCCUUCCUCCUCCUCCUCAUCUUCCUCAUCCCCCUCUUCCUUCUCCUCAUCCUCACCCUCCUCCUCCUUCAUUUUUCUUCAUCCUCACCAUCCUCCUCCUCCUUCAUCCUCCUCCUCCUUCAUCCUCCUCCUCCUUCAUCCCCCUCCUUCAUCCUCCUCCUCCUCCUUCCUCCUCCUUCAUCCUCCUCCUUCAUCC